rnacentral:rRNA from 1 species
GUCCAUGCCCUAAACGAUGGGCACUAGGUGUGAGGACGCUUUAAUGUCUUCGUGCCGAAGUCAACGCAUUAAGUGCCCCACCUGGGAAGUACGGCCGCAAGGUUGAAACUCAAAAUGAAUUGACGGGGGCCCGCACAAGCGGUGGAGCAUGUGGUUUAAUUCGACGCAACGCGAAGAACCUUACCCAGGCUUGACAUCCGGGGAAUCCCGUAGAAAUACGGGAGUGCCCGCAAGGGAGCCCCGAGACAGGUGCUGCAUGGCUGUCGU